rnacentral:rRNA from 1 species
UACGAAGGGGGCUAGCGUUGCUCGGAAUCACUGGGCGUAAAGGGUGCGUAGGCGGGUUUUUAAGUCAGGGGUGAAAUCCUGGAGCUCAACUCCAGAACUGCCUUUGAUACUGAAGAUCUUGAGUUCGGGAGAGGUGAGUGGAACUGCGAGUGUAGAGGUGAAAUUCGUAGAUAUUCGCAAGAACACCAGUGGCGAAGGCGGCUCACUGGCCCGAUACUGACGCUGAGGCACGAAAGCGUGGGUAGCAAACAGG